rnacentral:rRNA from 1 species
UACGUAGGGUCCAAGCGUUAUCCGGAAUCACUGGGCGUAAAGCGUGCAUAGGUGGAUUGUUAAGUGCGGUGCGAAAUCCUGUGGCUCAACCAUAUGGACUGUAUCGCAUACUGGCAAUCUAGAGGACAUGAGAGGCAAGUGGAAUUACUGGUGUAGCAGUGAAAUGCGUAGAGAUCAGUAGGAACACCAAUGGCGAAGGCAGCUUGCUGGCAUGUAUCUGACGCUAAGGCACGAAAGCGUGGGGAGCGAACAGG